rnacentral:rRNA from 1 species
UACGUAGGGUGCAAGCGUUGUCCGGAAUUAUUGGGCGUAAAGAGCGUGUAGGCGCCCGACCAGUCCGCUGUGAAAGUCCAGGGCUCAACCCCUGGAAUGCCGGUGGAUACUGUCGGGCUAGAGUCCGGAAUGGGCGAGUGGAAUUCCUGGUGUAGCGGUGAAAUGCGCAGAUAUCAGGAGGAACACCAAUGGCGAAGGCAGCUCGCUGGGACGUGACUGACGCUGAGGAGCGAAAAGCGUGGGGAGCAAACAGG